rnacentral:rRNA from 1 species
CCCUUAGAUGUCCUGGGCUGCACGCGCGCUACACUGACACACUCAGCGAGUUUUCCUGGCUCGAGAGAGUUGGGUAAUCUGUUGAAAGUGUGUCGUGAUGGGGAUAGAUUAUUGCAAUUAUUAAUCUUCAACGAGGAAUUCCUAGUAAGUGCAAGUCAUCAGCUUGCGCUGAUUACGUCCCUGCCCUUUGUACACACCGCCCGUCGCUCCUACCGAUUGAGUGGUCCGGUGAAUAAUUCGGAUUGCGGCAUUGGAGCUUCUGCUACUAGUGCUGUGAGAAGUUUAGUGAACCUUAUCACUUAGAGGAAGGAGAANUCGUANCA